UAAGGGAAUGCCAUAUUUGUCCCUGGUUCCUCCUCUUUCACUCAUCCCAAUGACUGCAUAUGCCAUUCACAGUUUCACAAACUCCUACUCGGUCUGCAGGUCAUUUUACCUCUGCAGAUGACCAUCUUUCAAACAAGAGAGAAAAUAAAGCUACAAUAUUUAUGUUUCUUUCCUCUGGGUUUAGAACAAGAAAUUUCCCUCGUUUACUUUUCUUUCCAGGAUCAUCUCCAUUUGCCUCUGGAUGCCAUCCCACAAUGCCUUAUCUGAGAGUUUAAUUCUUAGCUUAAUGUCUCUCACAUAGCAUCAGUCUCUCUCUCUCUCUUUCUCUCGCUCUCCCUUCCUCCUUCUUUUCUUCCCUUAUCUCCUUCCCUUUCUCUCUCAUUUCCUUUCUUCCUCCUUACUUUCUACUCUAUCUCAUCCUCUGGUUUCUUCUCUACAGAGUACAAAAGUAUUUAAAUCUUUCUCAGCAUAAAAGACCACAAACAGUGAAAAUCUUUCUAUGUUAUUGCACUUUCCCCUAAGCCUUCUCACCUAUUAGCUUUUUCCUUUUGCUAUGCAAAUUAUUUAAUAUAAUAGACCACCUUAUCUGCCUUUAUUUUCACAAAUCUGAUGUACUUUCCAGCAUGUAUUAUGAAGGUACUGGUUUCAUCCUACUUCUUAACCAUGUUCACCACAUUUAAGACUUUUCCAUAAUCUUACGGAAGCAUUUACCAUAUUUUGCUAAAUCAGAUGGCCUAUGUUGCUUCUCAUUCUUUUGACACUCUAAUAGUAUGUGAUGUUGUUGACCAUUCCUAUUGGAAAAUAUUUUUAUGCUUCACUUCUAAGAAAUUUCUUCUUGUCUCUCCCUGCCUUUUUUAAAUUAUUCUUUUGAUAGUUUCUCCUCCCCUACUCACAGCUUAAACAUUUUGCUCUUCAGGGUCUAGUUUCUUUUGUUGUUGUUGUUGUUGUUUCACUUUACAGGUGCUUUAUGUAAUCAAACAUAAAGCAUGGCGCAAAAUGAUUUAAUAAUUUUAACCUCCUUUUACCUCUUUUAAAAAUUCAUAUUGUGUGGCCAGGCGUGGUGGCCAGGCAUGGGAUUACACCUGUAAUCCCAGCACUUUGGGAGGCCGAGGCGGGCAGAUCACGAGGUCAGGAGAUAGAGACCAUCCUGGCCAACAUGGUGAAACUCCAUCUCUACUAAAAAAAUACAAAAAAAAAAAAAAAAAAUUAGCCGGGCGUGAUGGGCGCCUGUAAUUCCCACUACUGGUCAGGCUGAGGCAGGAGAAUCGCUUGAACCCGGGGGGCGUAGCUUGCAGUGAGCCGAGAUCGCGCCACUGUACUCCAGCCUUGGCGACAGAGCCAGGCUCCAUCUCAAAAAAAGAAAAAAAAAAUUCACAUUAUGAUAUGGCUGCAAGAUUUAUGCAGUCCCAAACGUAGGAGCCUGAGUAUCUUCAUUCUCUCCUUUCCUUCAACACUCAUACAAAAUCAGGAACUAAAUCAGCCCAAUCAGUGCUUCUCAAACUCUCAAACAAACAAAAACAAAAAUAAAAACAUGUUUUUAUUUUUCUGUACCAUGCCUUCCUUUCUGUUGCUGCCCUAAUUCCAUCCAACUUUAAUGGUCAGAUAACUUACAGUAUGCUUCUUGCCCCCCUCCCCCAAUCUUGAUCUGUAUUUCUUUGUAAGUUCCUAAUAAAAAUAUGUUUUUCCACUGUCAUUCUUAUAACAAAACAACAACCUCAACCAUCUCUGACAUUUCCUGCCAACUUCUUACACUACAGUUCCCUUCAGAAAUUCACUUCAAACACAGCCAGAACUACACAUAACUCACAGAUCCUUAAAUAUAGCACUUGCUUUUGUUGCAUAAGCUGUUCCCAUGGCCUGGAAUGUCCUUUAACACCUUAACCAUAUAGGAA
rnacentral:lncRNA from 1 species